GUGAAAAUGUUCAGGAAUUAUAUAGUUGCACGAUUAACUGAAUGUAUGAUGAGCCGCUGAGUACACAUUAAAGAGCGAAUUUUAUGUUAGGUGAAUUAUACCUCAAUAAAGCUGUGAUAUAAAAAAGAAAAAGAAAGAACGGUGGGCUAAAAAGAAGGAACUCUAGCACAUGAGUAGAGCAUGUUGGCAGUGAACCUCGCCAUCAGGCCAUUUUCUUGGGUAGCUACUGCUGUCAUCUUCUUAGGUCUUUCCUCUUGGGCUGGUGAGAGUUUGCAGAGGCAUUUCCAGAGCUGCCAACAUUUUGGGAGCCUGGCUGAGGAGGACAGCUGGGUGGGUCGGGGUGUGUGGCCUCAGGUUUGAGCAUGCGUAUGUUUCCUUCAUCAUCGUUACUGUUGCUACGGAACAGACGCCGCCGCUUGCUUUAUUGUGCUUGUGGAUGUUUUGAGGAUGGCUUGUCUCUGCUGUACAAUGACUGGGGCCUCCACUGGAACCACUCAAAGCUAGAGACAGUCUACCAAGAGCCCGCGUGUGCCAGCCUCUCUUGCUUAGCUCAGGGGUUCAACCGUGGGUGCUCCAGCAAACAAGGGAGACCCCGUUGCCUUUUAUGACCAGCCUCAAGAAGCACGCAGGGUCUGCGUUCUCCAUGGUGGAAGUGGCCACGGCCCCAUCUAAACUCAAGAGGGGGUCUCUGACCUCAGUCUCAAGGGGAGGAGUGCCCAAGGAUUUGAGGCUGCAUUUCGAACUGCCACAGUCACUCAGAUUUUAGCAAGGUGUACUCAAACCACAACCUGCCAGAAGCCCUGGUGCGCAGAAGAGCCCCGACACAGCACGUCUGAGGCUGCCAGUCCUGACGGGCCCGCCGGCCGGGUUGGCCCUCCACUGGUGUCUGGAAACGUGACCGCUAAACAGUCCCCUACACUGACGACAACUUUCCCGCUAUGGAAACUGAGGCCCAGGGAGGGCAGGACAGCCCAUGGGCACAUGGAGAGUGAACAUCCAGGUCUCCUGCAGCUGCCCAGACCUCCCCAUGCCUCUCCGUCCUGGCCAGGGGCUCGCUCCCAGCUGGCUCCUGUGUGUCAGGAUGGAUGGGGAAACUGAGGCUCAGCCGUGAUCUCCCGGAGCAUCAGUUACAUGGUGAGUAAUUGGAGGGACUUCCCUGGUGGCGCAGUGGUUAAGAAUCUGCCUGCCAAUGCAGGUGCCACGGGUUUGAGCCGUGGUCCGGGAAGAUUCCCACAUGCCGUGGAGCAACUAAGCCUGUGUGCCACGACUACUGAGCCUGCACUCUAGAGCCUGCAAACCACAACUACUGAGCCCACGUGCCACAACUACUGAAGCCCACGCGCCCUAGAGCCCGUGCUCCACAACAAGAGAAGCCACGGCAAUGAGAAGCCUGCACACUGCAGUGAAGAGUAGCCCCCGCUCACCGCAACUAGAGAAAGCCCGCACGCAGCAAUGAAGACCCAACGCAGCCAAAAAAAAAAAAAAAAAAAGAGUAAUUGGAGAUUUUUCAUAAAAUCUAGCUUUCUUGUGUGGAAAUAAACAAAACCAACGAGAUGGGGAAGGCAGAGGUGUGUGUUCAGAGCUGGCUGUAGCGAGGGAGUUGCUCCCAUCACUUGGUUUGGCAGAGACUCAAGGGCAGGCAGGGCAGUGGGACAGCUUCCUGGAGGAGAAGGAGGGCUCAGGGCUGCCCUGGUGGGGGCUGUGGGCCUGGGGAAGCUGGAGGUGCCCUCACUAGAAGGGGGGGUCCCAUGUGAUUGGUUGGGGGAGCGUGUUUGGCUUUCUCUGGUUGGUCCUGAGUUGGAGGUAGGGACUGAAAUUAGGGAAGCUGUCAGUUAUCGACCAAAUUCUGGCCUUUUGGGGCUGAUUGUUACAGGGGUUAUUUAGCUUCCUGGAUUGUCCCUAGAGACAGCAGGCUGGCUUCCUGGGCUGGCUGCUGCGGGCUGCGGGUCAGAAGUCUGUUUUCUAUGUGAUUCGGGUGUCAGUCUCACUGGGUCCUCUUGAAGAAUCAGAAGCCAGCCUUGCGCUUCUGUAAUGGUGGAGAGGCAACUCAGAUCCACUUCCCCUUCCCAAGGGCGACUCAGGAAGCCAAGCAAUAGUGGUCAGAAUUCUCACUGAAAGCAUCAGAACCCACAGGAUUGGAAGACAGGGACCCCAAGGUAAGCCUGGACAGCUGCCUUUGCGUUCCUGCUCUAGGAAGUGAGCCGUGAACGGGAGCUUUGCUUUGGCCAUGUCCCUUUGUCCUAGCUGAUCCAUGACGUGGGCUUUGUGCAAGGCCACCGGGGACAGGGGACUCCGUUACCAUUGAUCCAUGAGCGCAAGCAGUGCAGCGGAGAAUACAGGCACGGGGCCAGACUGGGGCUAGUUCGGGCCUGUCCAGUCUGGGAGAAGGGGACUGAGGCCAAGAGUGGGGAGUGUCUGGGCUUCCCUGGUGGCGCAGUGGUUGGGAGUCCGCCUGCUGAUGCAGGGGACACGGGUUCAUGCCCCGGUCCGGGAAGAUUCCACAUGCCGCGGAGCGGCUGGGCCCGUGAGCCAUGGCCGCCGAGCCUGCACGUCCGGAGCCUGUAGCUCCGCAACGGCCACAACGGUGAGAGGCCCGCGUACCGCAAAAAAAAAAAAAAAAAAAGCGGGGAGUGUCUGGAGGGGCUGGAACGGUGGGAACAUGGGGACCGAGGGGACAGCAGCAGAGACAGAGACCGCACGUCUCGAUGGUCCAGGAAAAGGGCUUUGCACGUUCGUCCAAGUGUGAUGGGAAUAAAUGAAGGGCCUGAGCAGAGGAGGGUCUGGUGCGUGUUUAGAAAGACCUCUUGGGCUGCUGUGUGAACAGAGGGAGGGGUGGGCAGGGUGAGGGGGGAGACCAGGUGGCUUCUACAGCAGCAGGGGUGAGGCGGGGCGCUGUGCGGUGAGGGGCAUCCAUGCACUUUGGAGGCGGACCCACUGGGACCCGGAUAUACAGCAAGUCAGAGGCCAGAAGUGUCCGGAACAUCAGGGGAGCUGUCAGCUUAUGGGAAAUGCAUGGGGUUUGCAGGGAAGGAGUGCAGGGAGGGGUUCCUGGCUGAGCCCCAAGACACCACAUUUGGGAACUGGUUGGGGAGAAGGAUGCAGAACUCCAGGUGGAAGAGGGGUGGGCGGAAUGGAAGCACCAAGAGCAGCACCUUCCAGGGGAGGGGACUCCCCCUAGGUGUCCCGGCUGAGCCUCCUUGUGAAGACAAGGAAAAAAGUCCUGAACAGAAAACAAACCUCGCCGGGUAGCAGCAAAUGAUCAGGAGCUGAGUUAGAUGAAAGAAGGACCCCAGGAAGGCUCAGCAGAGCCGUAAGUGGCCUUUGCCCUGCCAGCCGAACUUGGUAUUGAACACAGCCAGCAGGAGACAAAACCCAGGAUGUGCCCAAGAUGGGGCUCUAAGGACUCAAAGAUCUAGAAAUCAAACUCUCCCACCCACAGAACAUGGCAAGGAAAACCAUCUCAAACGGUGGCCCAGAGCAGAGUAGAGAAUGUGCCUCUUGAGGAGUCACACCAAACACGUGCAGCACAGAGCAGCCUGCAGGGGAGCUCGGCGCUCUGCAGACACAGGGAUGGCUGGUGCCCUUUACGAAGUAAAGCCCGGAGAAGAGAGACACUGUGGAGACCAUCGCGUGGGGUCCCGAGGUUCCUCUCUGGAAGGGUGUUUGUGGGGCAGGGCUCUCCCCACUCCUGGUAGCCGCUGCUGGUCUCUGGCACACAAGGGUGGUGAUGGUAGGGCCCGCCAGCAGGCCUUUUCGAUCUGGAGAUUUCUGUCUUAGCGGUAGGCUCCAAGGAUGGACGUCCGUGCCUGGGUCCCUCUGCAGCACGGGGAGGGAGAUGGGAGAGUGGGGGCAGGGGUCCCAGGUGGCCCCCGGCCAGCCCACCUAGCGCUUAAUCUUGUCCAAGUGGGUUUCUGACUCUGGUGGUUAAACAAGGCUAUGAAUGGAUCAGGUGUGGAACAACACCUGGGCUCAAGCUCUUCUUGUGGUGACAAUGGCUGUUGUCUUUUUUAAAAAAUUUAUUUAUUUUAUUUAUUUACUUUUGGCUGUGUUGGGUCUUCGUUGCUGCGUGUGGGCUUUCUCUAGUUGCGGCGAGCAGGGGCUACUCUUCGUUGCGGUGCGUGGGCUUCUCAUUGCCGUGGCUUCUCUUGUAGAGCACGGGCUGUAGGCAGAUGGGCUUCAGUAGUUGUGGUGCACAGGCUUAGUUGCUCCGCGGCAUGUGGGAUCUUCCCGGACCAGGGCUCAAACCCGUGGCCCCUGCAUCGGCAGGCGGACUCUCAACCACUGCGCCACCAGGGAAGCCCCACUCUGUGUCUUUUGAUUGGUGAAGUCAAUCCAGUUUCACUUAGGGUGAUUAUUGAUAAAUGAGGAUUUAGUACUGUCAUUUUAUCUUUGGUUUUCUGGUUUCUCUAUACCUCCAUUGUUUCUUUUUCCUUGUGUUUCUGUCUGCCAUUUUGGUUUGGUGGUCUUCUUUGGUAUUUUUCUCAGUUUCCUUUUUUUUUGUUUUUUUUGUGUUUCAUGUCUCUGCUCUGUGUUUAUGUUUUCUUCGUUACCCUGAGGUUUGUAUAAAAUGUCUCAUAGAUAAAAUAGUCCUUUUUCUUUUUAAAAAAUCUUGUGUGCCUGCCA